CCAUGGCAACAGCGGACACAUCAGCUGCUGGAGAGGAGAGGACUCCUCCGACAGUUUCUCUGUUUCUCGUCAGUUAUACCAAAGAAAAGUUCAACAACUGCGACAGAUUGGAGUGUCUUAAAAACCCUCUAAAAAAGAGGGGAAGUUCCAAGAAAAUUUCUAAUGGGAGCUGCUGACAGAGAUAGAAAACACAGUUUGUUUAUUUCUAAUAAGGAGCUGGAGGCUGUGGAGAAGCAGAUCCGUGACCUCGUGGAGAAGCAGGCCCAGCUGAGAGAGUGGAGAGCUGUGCUGGAAACAUUCAGGGGUUGACGCUCAUAAGUCCAGGGUAAGUAAACAGCUAACCCUACUACCACCUCUACUCUGUGUGGUUCUCAGCACAAGCUUGGUGCACCCAGGACGCGAUCUUCCCAGAUGUCCACAGCGUAAGACAUGAGCCAGGACCUGGGCGAUGACCUCUCUCCUUCCAACGCCUCCGGUCUUCAGGAUCUCCACCUGCAGGAGCUCCACUUCGCGAGACAGAACACGACACUGUUAUCAU